rnacentral:rRNA from 1 species
GACGCUGAGAUGCGAAAGCGUGGGGAGCAAACAGGAUUAGAUACCCCUGGUAGUCCACGCCCUAAACGAUGUACACUAGUUGUUGUGAGACUUGAUCUUGCAGUAAUGCAGUUAACACAUUAAGUGUACCGCCUGGGGAGUACGGUCGCAAGAUUAAAACUCAAAGGAAUAGACGGGGACCCGCACAAGCGGUGGAGCAUGUGGUUUAAUUCGACGAUACACGAAGAACCUUACCUGGACUUGACAUAGUAAGAACUUUCUAGAGAUAGAUUGGUGUCUGCUUGCAGAAACUUAUAUACAGGUGCUGCACGGCUGUCGUCAGCUCGUGUCGUGAGAUGUUGGGUUAAGUCCCGCAACGAGCGCAACCCUCGUGUUUAGUUGCUAACAGUUCGGCUGAGAACUCUAAACAGACUGCCUACGCAAGUAGGAGGAAGGUGAGGACGACGUCAAGUCAUCAUGGCCCUUACGUCCAGGGCUACACACGUGCUACAAUGGGAUAUACAAAGAGCGGCAAUACGGUGACGUGGAGCAAAUCUUAUAAAAUAUCUCCCAGUUCGGAUUGUAGUCUGCAACUGGACUACAUGAAGUUGGAAUCGCUAGUAAUCGGAGAUCAGCUAUGCUACGGGAAUACUUCCUU